rnacentral:lncRNA from 1 species
AUGUCGUUCCCAAAGUAUACUCCUUCACCCCUGGCCACUAUGCCCUCAAACCAGCCGAAUAGGACAUGUCUUCGGAAACCCAGCAGGCGCAAGCCAAGUGGUUGACCAUUAAGAGCCUGGCUGAAACCUGCUUACCCUAACUGCCGAGGGCUCAUCGAAAAUCCUGCCUUGAUUCCUUGGACCUAUGCAAGAUCAGCAAGUGUCUUUCCUAAUUUCAGACCCACUCCUAAAAACUCACUCUUGGGAGCUCUGUGUGGAAUUGGGCCCCUCUUCUUCUGGUAUUAUGUUUUCAAAACUGACAGGGAUAGGAAAGAAAAACUUAUCUGGGAAGGAAAAUUGGGUCCAACAUUUAACCUGUCAU